rnacentral:rRNA from 1 species
AGGGUUUGAUCAUGGCUCAGAACGAACGCUGGCGGCAGGCCUAACACAUGCAAGUCGAGCGCGCCUUUCGGGGUGAGCGGCGGACGGGUUAGUAACGCGUGGGAAUAUACCCUUUGGUACGGAAUAGCCUCUGGAAACGGAGAGUAAUACCGUAUGAGCCCUUCGGGGGAAAGAUUUAUCGCCAAAGGAUUAGCCCGCAUUAGAUUAGGUAGUUGGUGGGGUAAUGGCCUACCAAGCCUACGAUCUAUAGCUGGUUUUAGAGGAUGAUCAGCAACACUGGGACUGAGACACGGCCCAGACUCCUACGGGAGGCAGCAGUGGGGAAUCUUGGACAAUGGGGGCAACCCUGAUCCAGCCAUGCCGCGUGAGUGAAGAAGGCCCUAGGGUCGUAAAGCUCUUUCGCCUGUGAAGAUAAUGACGGUAGCAGGUAAAGAAACCCCGGCUAACUCCGUGCCAGCAGCCGCGGUAAUACGGAGGGGGUUAGCGUUGUUCGGAAUUACUGGGCGUAAAGCGCACGUAGGCGGACCAGAAAGUUGGGGGUGAAAUCCCGGGGCUCAACCCCGGAACUGCCUCCAAAACUAUUGGUCUAGAGUUCGAGAGAGGUGAGUGGAAUUCCGAGUGUAGAGGUGAAAUUCGUAGAUAUUCGGAGGAACACCAGUGGCGAAGGCGGCUCACUGGCUCGAUACUGACGCUGAGGUGCGAAAGUGUGGGGAGCAAACAGGAUUAGAUACCCU